UCUCUCAUUUGUUCUUCUGCAUAAUCUCUCACACACUUCUAUUUCUCCCUCUCCUUGUCACAAGGAAAGGGCGUAGAAGAACCAAAACCUAAACAAAAGAGCAAUAAUAACUCAUU
rnacentral:sRNA from 1 species